rnacentral:rRNA from 1 species
AGAGUUUGAUCAUGGCUCAGAACGAACGCUGGCGGCGUGCCUAACACAUGCAAGUCGAGCGCGAAUAGGGGCAACCCUUAGUAGAGCGGCGCACGGGUGCGUAACACGUGGAUAAUCUGCCUGGAUGCCCGGGAUAACCAGUCGAAAGAUUGGCUAAUACCGGAUAAGCCCACGGUUUCUUCGGAGACUGAGGGAAAAGGUGGCCUCUGUAUACAAGCUAUCACAACCAGAUGAGUCCGCGGCCCAUCAGCUUGUUGGUGAGGUAAUGGCUCACCAAGGCGACGACGGGUAGCCGGCCUGAGAGGGUGACCGGCCACACUGGGACUGAGACACGGCCCAGACUCCUACGGGAGGCAGCAGUGGGGAAUAUUGCACAAUGGGCGCAAGCCUGAUGCAGCGACGCCGCGUGAGGGAUGACGGCCUUCGGGUUGUAAACCUCUUUCAGUAGGGAAGAAGCGAAAGUGACGGUACCUGCAGAAGAAGCGCCGGCUAACUACGUG